AACGAACGCUGGCGGCAUGCCUAACACAUGCAAGUCGAACGAGACCUUCGGGUCUAGUGGCGCACGGGUGCGUAACGCGUGGGAACCUGCCCUUCGGUUCGGCAUAACUCCCCGAAAGGGGUGCUAAUACCGGAUAAUGUCUUCGGACCAAAGAUUUAUCGCCUUUGGAUGGGCCCGCGUUUGAUUAGCUAGUUGGUAGGGUAAAAGCCUACCAAGGCGACGAUCCAUAGCUGGUCUGAGAGGAUGAUCAGCCACACUGGGACUGAGACACGGCCCAGACUCCUACGGGAGGCAGCAGUGGGGAAUAUUGGACAAUGGGCGAAAGCCUGAUCCAGCAAUGCCGCGUGAGUGAUGAAGGCCUUAGGGUUGUAAAGCUCUUUUACCCGGGAUGAUAAUGACAGUACCGGGAGAAUAAGCUCCGGCUAACUCCGUG
rnacentral:rRNA from 1 species